rnacentral:lncRNA from 1 species
CUAAUAUUUAAUGGUAUAUCUAAUUCUCAAGGUUAAAGCUACAGAAAUAAACCUAAUGAGUGUAAAGUAUAGCAGGGUGACACUUCAGAAAAGCAGACUGCAGUAAGCACACCGUACUACCACCUUCUUUAUAACAGGUAACAGGUAAGAAGGAUUUCCUCUCCUUUAUAUGCACAAAGAAGUAGUAGAACUCAUAAAUUGAUUUAUUUCCAUUCAGAGUCAGUCGUUCAGUGCAGAAAAUGAUGCCCUCUAAGUUGACAAAGCCUAUUGGUACUUCUUGCUAUCUGCUGCCAAAUUAUGCAGUAGCCUUCUUACCUGUUCCAGAUUACUGUAGUGUACGUGACAGCAGUUGCAGUAUCCUUGUCUGUUUUGCAUGGUGGAUACUCCAGGCCGAGGAUGUUCUUGCCUUCUUGAAUGUAAACUGAAAGAAGCAGAAUACAAAAAAUAAAGUCAAACUUUCUAGCACAAACCUUAGCGUCGCCAGCCUUCCGCCACCAAAGAUGAUUCCAGGCUAGCAAACAACGAAUGUCAAACAGGAGGCCACUUGCAGUGCAGGACACUUGUCUCUUCUCAUCCCAUCUGUCAAAAAAUUCAUUUGAAGUGCCUUUUAAAACAGAGCUAAUAACAUGUUUUCCUUGCCCUUAGGCAUGUAACAUUUUCUGUAACUCUUCGCAAACAGGUCAGACAAUAAGAUGAAUAAACCUCUUUUUGAUGGCUGCAGUAGAUCCAUGUUUUCAUCACAGCAGUAGUGUUUCCUCCUAAAUGUUAACUGUUCCUACCAGAAUAACUUUGUUCCUUCUUUCUUCCACGUACUCUCUACAUAUUAAAUUCUGCUGAUGCUGCUAUUCAGGAAAUGAAAUAUGCUUCUACAGUAAUAGAAGGAAAAAAAUACAACCAAACCUCUAUAUUAACCAAACUGAAUUUUCUUCAUGAACCUACUCAGAAAAAAACAUUUUCUUUUAUUUAUGCAAACUCACCAGACACUGCAUUUUAUGAACUCACCAUUACACACUCAAUGAAGUAUUACAAUUUCCUUACUACAGACACGGAAAGAGAGAACUGCCUGAAGAACUUCCAUAAUCCCUGUCACUAGCGUCGUCCCAGUCUUAAAACUCAGGACUUACAAACAGGAACGUGGGAUCCUCACGCAGCAUCAGCAGGGGCACCACAAACAGAUAUGCUGCCUCAGAACUGGAUGACAGCACCAUAACUUAAAGGGUCUCAUUUCAAAUCAGAAAUGCCAGACAGCAGCAACUGGGGCAUGCGCGUGGGUAACCACUACCGUGGUUCAUCACUUCUUUUAUUUCAAGGAGUAAUCUCAGUGGCUGUGCUGCACCGGGGCUUUACUCGCACACAUUAAGCUGAGUCACAAGCGUUGUAACUUAGAACUGCAGGACUACUAAAAGAACGGAGAUACUCCAGUCUACACGUCUCCUCAGCAAGUCCCUACUGGUCAGGAGAUUGAACGGACCAGAUUUCCUCACAGAGGAGGGGCACACAACGUAAGGUCUGUACACGCACGUGCUGCCACUAACAGGCAAACGUCUGAGGAGAACCUGCAGGGAUACUUCAGCAGCUGACAGAAGGGGAGAAACAAGCGGCCUCAGCUCAGCGUUCUGUGAGAAGAUCACUGUGCAGGACGAAGUAAGAAGCUGAUCUGAAGCUAUACAGUCCUUGGCUACCUGAGGUCAGGCACAAAGCACAGCGCAGUAGCGGCUGCCAAGACCAGGCGCGCCCGGCUGCGCUCUCACUUUAUCAGCUCUGAAAAUCCACACAGGAUUUCUCAGAUUUGCGGGCUUGGCAUGGACAGUUCCAGCUUUGUUAGGAUUCCUCUGACUGUAAAUAUCUUAAGCUGCUCGAUUAAAUAGUAAAUCGCAUCUGCGUUAGCAUUAGUUUAGACAUUCUACCACUAGGAAAAACGAAAACCAAGAGCACCG